rnacentral:rRNA from 1 species
GUGAUCUAUCCAUGAGCAAGUUGAAGCUAGUGUAAGAACUAGUGGAGGACUGAACCCAUAGGCGUUGAAAAGCCCCGGGAUGACUUGUGGAUAGGGGUGAAAGGCCAAUCAAACUUCGUGAUAGCUGGUUCUCUCCGAAAUAUAUUUAGGUAUAGCGUUGUGUCGUAAUAUAAGGGGGUAGAGCACUGAAUGGGCUAGGGCAUACACCAAUGUACCAAACCCUAUCAAACUCCGAAUACCUUAUAUGUAAUCACAGCAGUCAGGCGGCGAGUGAUAAAAUCCGUCGUCAAGAGGGAAACAACCCAGACUACCAGCUAAGGUCCCUAAGUCUUACUUAAGUGGAAAACGAUGUGAAGUUACUUAAACAACCAGGAGGUUGGCUUAGAAGCAGCCAUCCUUUAAAGAAAGCGUAAUAGCUCACUGGUCUAGUGAUUUUGCGCGGAAAAUAUAACGGGGCUAAAGUAAGUACCGAAGCUGUAGACUUAGUUUACUAAGUGGUAGGAGAGCGUUCUAUUUGCGUCGAAGGUAUACCGGUAAGGAGUGCUGGAGCGAAUAGAAGUGAGCAUGCAGGCAUGAGUAGCGAUAAUUAAUGUGAGAAUCAUUAACGCCGUAAACCCAAGGUUUCCUACGCGAUGCUCGUCAUCGUAGGGUUAGUCGGGUCCUAAGUCGAGUCCGAAAGGGGUAGACGAUGGCAAAUUGGUUAAUAUUCCAAUACCAACAUUAGUGUGCGAUGGAAGGACGCUUAGGGCUAAGGGGGCUAGCGGAUGGAAGUGCUAGUCUAAGGUCGUAGGAGGUUAUACAGGCAAAUCCGUAUAACAAUACUCCGAGAACUGAAAGGCUUUUUGAAGUCUUCGGAUGGAUAGAAGAACCCCUGAUGCCGUCGAGCCAAGAAAAGUUUCUAAGUUUAGCUAAUGUUGCCCGUACCGUAAACCGACACAGGUGGGUGGGAUGAGUAUUCUAAGGCGCGUGGAAGAACUCUCUUUAAGGAACUCUGCAAAAUAGCACCGUAUCUUCGGUAUAAGGUGUGGUUAGCUUUGUAUUAGGAUUUACUCCGAAAGCAAGGAAACUUACAACAAAGAGUCCCUCCCGACUGUUUACCAAAAACACAGCACUCUGCUAACUCGUAAGAGGAUGUAUAGGGUGUGACGCCUGCCCGGUGCUCGAAGGUUAAUUGAUGGGGUUAGCAUUAGCGAAGCUCUUGAUCGAAGCCCGAGUAAACGGCGGCCGUAACUAUAACGGUCCUAAGGUAGCGAAAUUCCUUGUCGGUUAAAUACCGACCUGCAUGAAUGGCGUAACGAGAUGGGAGCUGUCUCAAAGAGGGAUCCAGUGAAAUUGUAGUGGAGGUGAAAAUUCCUCCUACCCGCGGCAAGACGGAAAGACCCCGUGGACCUUUACUACAGCUUGACACUGCUACUUGGAUAAGAAUGUGCAGGAUAGGUGGGAGGCUUUGAGUAUAUGACGCCAGUUGUAUAUGAGCCAUUGUUGAGAUACCACUCUUUCUUAUUUGGGUAGCUAACCAGCUUGAGUUAUCCUCAAGUGGGACAAUGUCUGGUGGGUAGUUUGACUGGGGCGGUCGCCUCCCAAAUAAUAACGGAGGCUUACAAAGGUUGGCUCAGAACGGUUGGAAAUCGUUCGUAGAGUAUAAAGGUAUAAGCCAGCUUAACUGCAAGACAUACAAGUCAAGCAGAGACGAAAGUCGGUCUUAGUGAUCCGGUGGUUCUGUGUGGAAGGGCCAUCGCUCAAAGGAUAAAAGGUACCCCGGGGAUAACAGGCUGAUCUCCCCCAAGAGCUCACAUCGACGGGGAGGUUUGGCACCUCGAUGUCGGCUCAUCGCAUCCUGGGGCUGGAGCAGGUCCCAAGGGUAUGGCUGUUCGCCAUUUAAAGCGGUACGCGAGCUGGGUUCAGAACGUCGUGAGACAGUUCGGUCCCUAUCUGCCGUGGGCGUAAGAAGAUUGAAGAGAUUUGACCCUAGUACGAGAGGACCGGGUUGAACAAACCACUGGUGUAGCUGUUGUUCUGCCAAGAGCAUCGCAGCGUAGCUAAGUUUGGAAAGGAUAAACGCUGAAAGCAUCUAAGCGUGAAGCCAACUCUAAGAUGAAUCUUCUCUAAGCUCUCUAGAAGACUACUAGUUUGAUAGGCUGGGUGUGUAAUGGAUGAAAGUCCUUUAGCUGACCAGUACUAAUAGAGCGUUUGGCUUAUCUUUAAUAAAGCAU